rnacentral:rRNA from 1 species
UGCCAGACUCCUACGGGAGGCAGCAGUGAGGAAUAUUGGUCAAUGGCCGAGAGGCUGAACCAGCCAAGUCGCGUGAGGGAAGACGGCCCUACGGGUUGUAAACCUCUUUUGUCGGGGAGCAAAGCGAACCACGUGUGGUUCAUUGAGAGUACCCGAAGAAAAAGCAUCGGCUAACUCCGUGCCAGCAGCCGCGGUAAUACGGAGGGUGCGAGCGUUAUCCGGAUUUAUUGGGUUUAAAGGGUGCGUAGGCGGAAUGCCAAGUCAGCGGUAAAAUCGCGGGGCUCAACCUCGCUCCGCCGUUGAAACUGGCGUUCUUGAGUGGGCGAGAAGUAUGCGGAAUGCGUGGUGUAGCGGUGAAAUGCAUAGAUAUCACGCAGAACUCCGAUUGCGAAGGCAGCAUACCGGCGCCCAACUGACGCUGAAGCACGAAAGCGUGGGGAUCGAACAGGAUUAGAUACCCUGGUAUAC